CACAUAUCCGAGAAGAGUUUCAAGAAGAGAAUACAGUGAAAAUGAGGAGAGGCAAUGAGAUCAUGGUUGAGAAUUUUUCAAAACUGAUGAAGAUAUGAAUUCUAAAAUGAGAGGUACCCUUAAAGAAAAAUAAACAAAAAGAAACUCACAUCUUGGCCUAUUGUUGAUAAACUCAGGACAUCAAAGGGAAGAAAAAUCUUAAAAUUAACCAAAAGGGACGGACAAAUUAUCUCUAAAAAUAGAUGAACUGUAAGGAAAGGCCACAAACGAUCUCUUCAAAAUGGCAAAUUGUUUUUAAAGGGAAAGAAAAACACACAUUUUUAGAACUUCAAAGACUGAAUUUAGCAAAAUCUUCCCAGUGAAAGAACUGCUCAACAACAUACUUUGAGAAGGAAAUUAACUCCAAAGAACUGAGUAUUGGCAAGAAACAACAGGAAGCAAAGAAAUUAGUGAACAGUAAUGUCCUAGGCUGGACCCUCUGAGGAGCUAGAGAAAGAUGAGAUCAAGAGUGGAAGAGUGCUAUCAGAUAAAACGCCUGGUAAGAGAAAAUGGAAGGAGCUGUAAGAACUCAGACCAUGAUGCAAGUCUGACCGGAGAAAGCCCAUGAAUGUUGGUGUAUCAACAAGCAAGAUAAACUUCCUUAAAUGGCACAGAAAUUUGUGACAUCCCUAGAAAAUGUCAUCAAAAGGAAAGAAGUAACAAUAUUAAAAUAUCUCACCCAAUCCCGUAAAGAUGACUAAUCUAUUUCAGCAUUUCAAGAUUUUAAGUAGCUAGAGAAUAAUAAAAAGAAAUUUCCACAAGCCUUUCAUAUGUCACAAAAUGAAGCUUGCCAUGCUCCCCCUGUGCAUUUAAUAAUGCACAUCUAUUGAUUUAUA